rnacentral:rRNA from 1 species
CCUGACUGCUAUCGGAUUGAUACUAAGCCAUGCGAGUCUUUGUAGCAAUACAAGGCAUACGGCUCAGUAACACGUAGUCAAUCUACCCUAUGGACGGGGAUAACCUCGGGAAACUGAGAAUAAUACCCGAUAGAUCAUUAUGCCUGGAAUGGUUUAUGAUCCAAAUGAAUUUCGCCAUAGGAUGGGACUGCGGUCUAUCAGCUUGUUGGUGAGGUAAUGGCCCACCAAGGCUAUAACAGAUACGGGCUCUGAGAGGAGAAGCCCGGAGAUGGGUACUGAGACACGGACCCAGGUCCUAUGGGGCGCAGCAGGCGAGAAAACUUUGCAAUGUGCGAAAGCACGACAAGGUUAAUCCGAGUGUUUCCUGCUAAAGGAAUCUUUUGUCAGUCAUAACACCACUGAUGAAUAAGGGGUGGGCAAGUUCUGGUGUCAGCCGCCGCGGUAAAACCAGCACCUCAAGUGGUCAGGAGGAUUAUUGGGCCUAAAGCAUCCGUAGCCUGCUUUGUUAGUUUUCGGUUAAAUCCAUAUGCUCAACAUAUGGGCUGCCGGGAAUACUGCAUAGCUAGGGAGUGGGAGAGGUAGACGGUACUCCGUAGGAAGGGGUAAAAUCCUUUGAUCUAUGGAAGACCACCUGUGGCGAAGGCGGUCUACCAGAACACGUUCGACGGUGAGGGAUGAAAUCUGGGGGAGCAAACCGGAUUAGAUACCCGGGUAGUCCCAGCUGUAAACUAUGCAAACUCAGUGAUGCAUUGGCUUGUGGCCAGUGCAGUGCCGCAGGGAAGCCGUUAAGUUUGCCGCCUGGGAAGUACGUACGCAAGUAUGAAACUUAAAGGAAUUGGCGGGGGAGCACCACAAGGGGUGAAGCCUGCGGUUC